rnacentral:rRNA from 1 species
AUUGAACGCUGGCGGCAUGCCUUACACAUGCAAGUCGAACGGCAGCACGGGAGCAAUCCUGGUGGCGAGUGGCGAACGGGUGAGUAAUGUAUCGGAACGUGCCCAGUCGUGGGGGAUAACGUAGCGAAAGCUACGCUAAUACCGCAUACGAUCUGUGGAUGAAAGCGGGGGACCGUAAGGCCUCGCGCGAUUGGAGCGGCCGAUAUCAGAUUAGGUAGUUGGUGGGGUAAAGGCCUACCAAGCCGACGAUCUGUAGCUGGUCUGAGAGGACGACCAGCCACACUGGGACUGAGACACGGCCCAGACUCCUACGGGAGGCAGCAGUGGGGAAUUUUGGACAAUGGGCGCAAGCCUGAUCCAGCAAUGCCGCGUGCAGGAUGAAGGCCUUCGGGUUGUAAACUGCUUUUGUACGGAGCGAAAAGGCUCUCUCUAAUACAGGGGGCUCAUGACGGUACCGUAAGAAUAAGCACCGGCUAACUACGUGCCAGCAGCCGCCGCCGUAA